UGACAGUUGACAUGAGAUGUGUUUCCUGCUCUGAGCUGAGUCACAAAUGCCCUCUACUCUCCCCGAAAGGGUACCCCAAAGAACUGAAAACAGAUGCUCAAGCAGAUCACUGUAUGCCAGUUUUCAUAGCAGCAUUAUUCACAGUGGCCAAAAGGGAGAAACAACUCAAGCGUCCACCAACAGAGGAAUGGGUAAACACAGUGUGGUUAGCAACUUACCCAGGUUUCUAGAUUUGGAAAUGGUGGAGAUUCUGACCCCAGGAGAAAAGACCUUCAAGCUCACACUACUAAGCUGCCAGCCUCCAAAGUGCACGUGAUGACUGCCUUUGCCAGCACUGCCAUGAGGCACUUGCAUACCUCCUCCACAUCACUGAGUUGGGGGCCAGACACUGGGCUGGGCGAUGGGGACACAGUGGUGACUAAGGCAGGGCCCGCCCUCAGGUCAUGCACAGAACUGAGGUGGGAAAUAUACAUGGAUGUUGUUCUUUUCAUCGCACAAAAGAGAAAACUGACACUUUGAGAGGUCGAGAGGCAUUUCUGAAUUUUACA